rnacentral:rRNA from 1 species
CAGCAGCCGCGGUAAUACGUAGGGUGCAAGCGUUAAUCGGAAUUACUGGGCGUAAAGCGUGCGCAGGCGGUUCGGAAAGAAAGAUGUGAAAUCCCAGGGCUCAACCUUGGAACUGCAUUUUUAACUACCGGACUAGAGUGUGUCAGAGGGAGGUGGAAUUCCACGUGUAGCAGUGAAAUGCGUAGAUAUGUGGAGGAACACCGAUGGCGAAGGCAGCCUCCUGGGAUAACACUGACGCUCAUGCACGAAAGCGUGGGGAGCAAACAGGAUUAGAUACCCGAGUAGUCCCUGUCUCUUAUAC